GCGGAUAUAUCUUAGUUGGUUAGAGAGUUAGAUUGUGAUUCUAAAAGUCAUGAGUUCAAAUCUCAUUAUUCGCC
rnacentral:tRNA from 1 species